UUAAAAACUCGGAUAUCCGCUUUGAAGAGGAAGAGACCAAAAAAGAAAGCGAUAGUCUGCAGGAAAUUGUUUGCAACCUAAAAAACCCACACAUUUCUAGAGACCUGUCGCAAAAGGAGUAUCUGAGGUGGAGCGGUUUUAACCUGAAAGAAAACCGUACAAAGAAAUCAAUAAUCCAUCACUGGCAAAGAAUCUGGAAAUAGGGUCACACGCAGCUGCGGCGCAUCAGGGGAGAUACGGGAAAAGCACAGAGAGUACGUCUGAAAAUGGCUUUUUGGGGACCCGUUGGAACCAUCUGGGGGACCCCUGGGGGACUCCAGUUUGAAAACGCCUGCCAUAGAAGAACCAUUUUUUGGCUGAAUGAUUACAUAAAUUAACAACUGAAGAACUAAAGGUUAUAAUCUAAAGGUUUUUAAAGGAACACGCCCACAUUUUGGGAAUUUGGCUUAU